GGAAGGGCAAUAGCUCAGUGGUAGAGAAUCUGCUUCGCCUGCAGAAGACCCUAGAUUCAAUGCUUGGCGUCUCCG